GUGGGGAAUCUUAGACAAUGGGGGCAACCCUGAUCUAGCCAUGCCGCGUGAGUGAUGAAGGCCUUAGGGUUGUAAAGCUCUUUCAGCUGGGAAGAUAAUGACGGUACCAGCAGAAGAAGCCCCGGCUAACUCCGUGCCAGCAGCCGCGGUAAUACGGAGGGGGCUAGCGUUGUUCGGAAUUACUGGGCGUAAAGCGCACGUAGGCGGAUCGGAAAGUUGGGGGUGAAAUCCCGGGGCUCAACCUCGGAACUGCCUCCAAAACUAUCGGUCUUGAGUUCGAGAGAGGUGAGUGGAAUUCCGAGUGUAGAGGUGAAAUUCGUAGAUAUUCGGAGGAACACCAGUGGCGAAGGCGGCUCACUGGCUCGAUACUGACGCUGAGGUGCGAAAGCGUGGGGAGCAAACAGG
rnacentral:rRNA from 1 species